GAUGAACGCUGGCGGCGUGCCUAAUACAUGCAAGUCGAGCGAACAGACGAGGAGCUUGCUCCUCUGACGUUAGCGGCGGACGGGUGAGUAACACGUGGAUAACCUACCUAUAAGACUGGGAUAACUUCGGGAAACCGGAGCUAAUACCGGAUAACAUGUUGAACCGCAUGGUUCAACAGUGAAAGACGGUCUUGCUGUCACUUAUAGAUGGAUCCGCGCCGCAUUAGCUAGUUGGUAAGGUAACGGCUUACCAAGGCAACGAUGCGUAGCCGACCUGAGAGGAUGAUCGGCCACAUUGGAACUGAGACACGGUCCAGACUCCUACGGGAGGCAGCAGGGGGGAAUUUUGGGCAAGGGGGGAAAGCCUGACGGAGAAACACCGCGGGGGGGAAGAAGGUCUUCGGGUGUAAAACCUCUGUUAUUGGGAAAGAAAAAUUGUGAAAGAAUAUAUGCCCGUUUUGACGUGACCAAAUAAAAAAGCACCGGCUAACUACGUG
rnacentral:rRNA from 1 species